UGACACGCUUGAGGUGAGUUUGAGGCAGGUAGGCCACUAUUACAUGGUUAGGUCCUGGCCCAUUGAACAGAACUUUGUAAUGAGGAGUCUUCUUGGCUGCAACACUCUUCAUGGUUAUCCAAACAUAUUAUGGUGAUCACACAGACUGACCCGCGUUCCUUUGUACAUCCUGAACACCCACUCAGCGGGGGCCCUCAUCUCACUAUCCCAGCUCACCACCACGCCGAGCCGGUGGGUCUUGCGAUCCACCACGACCUCGCCCACCCGCAGGAAAACGUAAGGCGGCCGUGGACUGCGCACCUCCUUGGAUGCUGACACACAAACAUAAGAAUAGCAUGUAAAUAUUUUUUUCCUAUUAACAUUAAAACAAAUUUGGCUUUGUAAA